rfam:Pseudomonas fluorescens SBW25 complete genome
ACCCCGGUAUUAUUGCUGUUAUGGGUUUGAAUCGAGCUUAGCCUUGUUCAUUUUUUUACACAACACCCCCGUAAAAAAUACAACACGGCCCGCUCAAGCCUGCGAGUCCCAAGCCCGUCAAACCCAAAAAACCGCCCCAAAAAGCCCCAAAAAAGCCUUCGCAGCGCUUUUUUAGGGCAA